UACGUAGGGUGCAAGCGUUAAUCGGAAUUACUGGGCGUAAAGCGUGCGCAGGCGGUUAUGUAAGACAGGUGUGAAAUCCCCGGGCUCAACCUGGGAACUGCCUUUGUGACUGCAUAGCUAGAGUACGGUAGAGGGGGAUGGAAUUCCGCGUGUAGCAGUGAAAUGCGUAGAUAUGCGGAGGAACACCGAUGGCGAAGGCAAUCCCCUGGACCUGUACUGACGCUCAUGCACGAAAGCGUGGGGAGCAAACAGG
rnacentral:rRNA from 1 species